AUUGAACGCUGGCGGCAUGCCUUACACAUGCAAGUCGAACGGUAACGCGGGGCAACCUGGCGACGAGUGGCGAACGGGUGAGUAAUGUAUCGGAACGUGCCCAGUUGUGGGGGAUAACUGCUCGAAAGAGCAGCUAAUACCGCAUACGACCUGAGGGUGAAAGCGGGGGAUCGCAAGACCUCGCGCAAUUGGAGCGGCCGAUAUCAGAUUAGGUAGUUGGUGGGGUAAAGGCCCACCAAGCCAACGAUCUGUAGCUGGUCGUAGAGGACGACCAGCCACACUGGGACCGAGACACGGCCCAGACUCCUACGGGAGGCAGCAGUGGGGAAUUUUGGACAAUGGACGCAAGUCUGAUCCAGCCAUGCCGCGUGCGGGAAGAAGGCCUUCGGGUUGUAAACCGCUUUUGUCAGGGAAGAAACGCUCUGGGUUAAUACCUCGGGGUAAUGACGGUACCUGAAGAAUAAGCACCGGCUAACUACGUGCCAGCCGCCGCGGUAAUAC
rnacentral:rRNA from 1 species